CAUUUCCAGGGAUUGCAGCAGAGGGGCCAACAGGAGGCUGCGAAGUCCUCUUUCCUGAGAGAAGUUUCCACAGUUGUCCUAGCUAAGCAGCCCCAGGUGGCAGCCCCAAGUGGAGGAUUGCU